UACAGAGGGUGCAAGCGUUAAUCGGAAUUACUGGGCGUAAAGCGUGCGUAGACGGUUGCGUAAGUCAGAUGUGAAAGCCCCGGGCUCAACCUGGGAAUUGCAUUUGAGACUGCGUAGCUAGGGUGCGGAAGAGGGAAGCGGAAUUUCCGGUGUAGCGGUGAAAUGCGUAGAUAUCGGAAGGAACACCAGUGGCGAAAGCGGCUUCCUGGUCCAGCACCGACGUUCAGGCACGAAGGCGUGGGGAGCAAACAGG
rnacentral:rRNA from 1 species